rnacentral:sRNA from 1 species
AUGGCUGUCGUCAGCUCGUGUCGUGAGAUGUUGGGUUAAGUCCCGCAACGAGCGCAACCCUUGUCCUUAGUUGCCAUCAUUAAGUUGGGAACUCUAAGGAGACCGCCGGUGACAAACCGGAGGAAGGUGGGGAUGACGUCAAGUCAUCAUGGCCUUUAUGACCAGGGCUACACACGUGCUACAAUGGUAGGUACAGAGGGAAGCCAACGCGCGAGCGGGAGCCAAUCCCAGAAAACCUAUCGUAGUCCGGAUCGGAGUCUGCAACUCGACUCCGUGAAGUCGGAAUCGCUAGUAAUCGCAGAUCAGCAUUGCUGCGGUGAAUACGUUCCCGGGUCUUGUACACACCGCCCGUCACACCAUGGGAGUUGAUUGCACCAGAAGCAGGUAGCCUGACCGCAAGGAGGGCGCCUACCACGGUGUGGUCAAUGACUGGGGUGAAGUCGUAACAAGGUAGCCGUACGGGAACGUGCGGCUGGAUCACCUCCUUUCAAGAGAUAGAAGCGCCAAUAGCAAAAGCGCGAGUUCCCUCACAAGUUAUCUGCCUCGAGUGAAGCGGCGGCCCGCAAGCUCUAAACCAUCGGGCUGCAGAAGUUUGGGUCUGUAGCUCAGUUAGUUAGAGCGCACCCCUGAUAAGGGUGAGGUCGGGGGUGCAACUCCUCCCAGACCCACCAAACGUAAACUUACGGGCACGGGGCCAUAGCUCAGCUGGGAGAGCGCCUGCUUUGCAAGCAGGAGGUCACCGGUUCGAUCCCGGUUGGCUCCACCAGCACACCCUGCCGCACUCAAUAAACACGCACGACCAACAGCGCGAUGACUCGAGCGCAUGUUUGAAAUCGAACAUGAUUUCGUGUGAUCGCGCGGUGCCGCCAACGGCAUCGUGCUGCUCUUUAACAAUCCGGAAAUUUCUUGUUUUGACGCCCAUUUUUCAAGCGAAAUGUAAUUUCGAAUGGAAAUGUCGCGUUCGCAAUAUGAUGAAUCAGCUCCAUAUCUCCAAACUCCUUGGGGUUAUAUGGUCAAGUGAAUAAGCGCAUAUGGUGGAUGCCUUGGCGGUAGAAGGCGAUGAAGGACGUGGUAGCCUGCGAUAAGCGUCGGCGAGCUGGCAAACAAGCUUCGACCCGGCGAUUUCCGAAUGGGGAAACCCGG